rnacentral:rRNA from 1 species
CCCGCACAAGCGGUGGAGUAUGUGGUUUAAUUCGAUGCAACGCGAAGAACCUUACCUGGUCUUGACAUCCCGGAGACCCUUAGGAAACUAGGGGGUGCUUCCAUCUGGAAGAAUCUGGAGACAGGUGCUGCAUGGCUGUCGUCAGCUUGUGUCGUGAGAUGUUGGGUUAAGUCCCGCAACGAGCGCAACCCUUGCCUUUAGUUGCCAGCAGUUCGGCUGGGCACUCUAAAGGGACUGCCGGUGUUAAACCGGAGGAAGGUGGGGAUGACGUCAAGUCCUCAUGGCCUUUAUGACCAGGGCUACACACGUACUACAAUGGCCGAUACAAAGGGCAGCGACACUGCGAGGUGAAGCCAAUCCCGUAAAAUCGGUCUCAGUCCGGAUUGGAGUCUGCAACUCGACUCCAUGAAGUUGGAAUCGCUAGUAAUCGUGGAUCAGCAUGCCACGGUGAAUACGUUCCCGGGCCUU